CCUACGGGUGGCAGCAGUGGGGAAUAUUGGACAAUGGGGCAACCCUGAUCCAGCCAUGCCGCGUGGGUGAAGAAGGCCCUCGGGUUGUAAAGCACUUUCAGUGAGGAAGAACGCCUGGUGGUUAAUACCCAUCAGGAAAGACAUCACUCACAGAAGAAGCACCGGCUAACUCCGUGCCAGCAGCCGCGGUAAUACGGAGGGUGCGAGCGUUAAUCGGAAUUACUGGGCGUAAAGCGCGCGUAGGUGGCUUGAUAAGCCGGUUGUGAAAGCCCCGGGCUCAACCUGGGAACGGCAUCCGGAACUGUCAAGCUAGAGUGCAGGAGAGGAAGGUAGAAUUCCCGGUGUAGCGGUGAAAUGCGUAGAGAUCGGGAGGAAUACCAGUGGCGAAGGCGGCCUUCUGGACUGACACUGACACUGAGGUGCGAAAGCGUGGGUAGCAAACAGGAUUAGAUACCCUGGUAGUC
rnacentral:rRNA from 1 species